CUGAGAACUCGGGAAAAAUGAGCUAAGACUGGGAAAAUACGUUUUGAACUUUCAUCCAACUCUGAAUUGUAAAUCAGGAACUCUGGCCUUUUUCUAGAGCUACGACCUAAAUAUCACUGACGUCAUCAUGAUUUGACCUUUUUUUUUCUCUGAGUUCCCAGUUGUCUUGAAAGCAGCAUAAAUCCAGAGAAUGCCAGACUUUGAUGACAAAGUUUGAUGACAAAAUUUGCCCACAAAGGACCGCUGUGCCACCUUCCUGUUCAAGUGAGCACAUCACAACAAGGCCCCGGAGUGAACAUACUUGUACACCUGCAAAGCCGACUAAAACGAGGGCUGAGGGGCUUACGUUGCAAACUGCCCUUGCUUGGCUAAUCAUUUGGACCGCCCGCCAAGAUGGCGACAGGGAUUUCCCCAAGGGCAUAAGGCAAGGCCUGAGGACUUCCCUGAGAUGGAGAUCUUGUGGCAGCUGACCUGCGCCUGGAACACAGGCAUCCUGCUUUACAGCCUGGCCGAGUACCCUGAGGGGUGGUGUGGCCUGGGCAUGAGCUUCCUCCGCUGCCUGGGCUCCCUGCAGGAGAGCUACCAGACACAGAUGUCAGAUCUGUACACAGGUCCUGGAUAGUCUGGACAAAGCCAAGAAGAACCUCCUCUUGGAGUCGUGAUUUGAGCUGGUAGAGCUUUGCAGAGCUCUUUUACUGUCUGGCACCUGAUGUUAUUCAUGUGGUAGCUGGGAUGGUAGUUUACUAUAUGAUGUAUGACUGGUCUCCAGUUUAGUCAGCUCCUCCAGGAUGUCAGUUGCAUCCUGUCCUCACCCAAUAUUUCCCUCACUUUCCCUAUGGAGAGUUCAGAUAACCAUUUCUGCUGGGGCGACAGGGUAGCCUAGUGGUUAGAGCGUUGGACUAGUAACCGAAAGGUUGCAAGUUCAAAUCCCCGAGCUGACAAGGUACAAAUCUGUCGUUCUGCCCCUGAACAGGCAGUUAACCCACUGUUCCUAGGCCGUCAUUGAAAAUAAGAAUUUGUUCUUAACUGACUUGCCUAGUAAAAUAAAGGUUAAAAAAAAAAAAAUCUGCACAUGAAUGGACUUUAUUUUAAGCCUCUUGCAUAUAUUACAUUUAUGUGAAUUUUACAUGUAAAAAUUUCAUUAAUCUUAAUUAAACAAAUCUUAAACUGCCAAUACCAGUGGACUCAAAUAAAAC
ensembl:lncRNA